CAGGGCCCAAACCCAUAAAUGCCUUUGUAACUUUACUUUAGCCUCUUCAUUUACAUAACGCGCACAUCAAGUAACCAAUGGAAACCUCUAGAGGGUAU